UACGAAGGGGGCGAGCGUUGUUCGGAAUUACUGGGCGUAAAGGGCGCGUAGGCGGUCCUUCAAGUCAGGCGUGAAAGCCCCGGGCUCAACCUGGGAACCGCGCUUGAGACUGGCGGACUCGAGUUCGGGAGAGGAUGGUGGAAUUCCCAGUGUAGAGGUGAAAUUCGUAGAUAUUGGGAAGAACACCGAUGGCGAAGGCAGCCAUCUGGACCGACACUGACGCUGAGGCGCGAAAGCGUGGGGGGCAAACAGGG
rnacentral:rRNA from 1 species